UACCCGCGGCCCGAGUGGUGCUCAUUAUUAUUGAGCCUAAAGCGUCCGUAGCUGGCCGGGCAAAUCUCCGGGGAAAUCGGACGGCCCAACUGUCCGAAGACCGGAGACACUGCUCGGCUCGAGAUCGGGAGAGGGAGGAGGUACUCUCGGGGUAGGGGUAAAAUCCUGUAAUCCUGAGGGGACCACCAGUGGCGAAGGCGUCCUCCUAGAACGAAUCUGACAGUGAGGGACGAAGCCCUAGGGCGCAAACGGG
rnacentral:rRNA from 1 species